AGCGGAGCCGGGCCCCGCGAUCCGGCCCGGGUUUUGCAUGCCACCCACUCGCCCGCUCGGCCGCGGAGAAUUCCAUAAUCACAGCGGGCGAGAGCGGAGACUGGGAGCGAAAAAUCCGGGAUCCGGCAACUUUAGGCAGCGCAUGCGCGCCCACGGCGCUCCAUCCCAAACACACACACAUUUUUCCCCCGGACUUGGAAAGUCACCCAAAGCCGCCCCAAGUGCAGAUCCAGAGAUCUGGGGGUCCAAGUCAUGUGACCUUGCGUCAGUUACUUACUAGGCUGUGGCUCGGUGUUUCUCAUCUGUGAAACGGGAAGCACUUGGUCUCUACAUAUCCGGGGAGCCAGGACUGCCUUAGGCACACAGACCUCACUGACUGAAGGCAAAGACACUUCCAUCCCACCUGCCCUUCCAGCUGCCCCGGCCACGGAUCCCUCCUUCACAAGGGAGUCUUGCAGCUCCCCAGUGCCACACAUUGGAAUGGACUUCGGACCCUGGCCUCUUGGGAUGCAAAGGAUGAAGUGACGCCCCAGCUACAUUCGAGGCACCUCUAGGACCCGCUACAAGAGUUUGGGACCAAGGAGCGCAGAAUGGAUCUCGGAACAGGUACCGGCCGGUGGGAACCCGCGGGAGGCUCUUUCACUUUUCUUUCAGUUCUUUUACGGAAGUUAUUCUUUUUAGUCCAAUGAGCUCGCGGCGGAGCAGGGUGCCGGCCGGGCCGAGGGUCGGUGCUACCGCCCCUGCGCUCGCUGCUCUCUGGAUGGCGAGAUGGUUAUUAUUUGUUACUUGCUUAGUGACUGUGACUAAUUUAAUGCUUGUCAUUGUGAAAGAACCGAGAGGACAGGGAGCUGGGGGGCACCCGAGGAGAUGAUUUAGGGGGUUUUUGUGGGGGUUUUUGUUCUCCAUGUUUUUGUAUGGGUCCGUGUUUUUAAAAUAUACAUAUACUUUUCCCCCCUCUGUAAAGAGCUCUGUGUGUCUGGCUAUGGGGUGUAUGUUUUUAUUUUUUUUAGUGGGGGGUGGUUUAGUUUUUGAAAGCAGCGUCCUGUUGGGAAAGGUGGUUAGUCUGGUUUCGGGGCGACUGUCUCAAGGUAAAGGAAUUUAAUUUAUUUGGGACAAGGCUGUGUCGGAUGAUCAAGCUGCUUAUUAUGGCUAAUGAGUGUUUUUCACCUGAGAAUCUGUGGGCUGAGGCUGCUGUUAUCAGUUCAAAGUGAGGGGCCCAGGACUCUCUCCCGGCCCCCUUUUAGCCCCCGCCCUGGAGGUGUUGAUGGGCCAGACUAACUUUAGGUAUCUGGGUCUGGGGGCCUAGGUUGGGACGCAGGUCAGGCUCCACGUAGCUGCUGGCCUGGGACAGAGUUUAUCCUGGGAAUUGGGUGUCUUACUGGUUUUAAUCUAGUUUUGUUCAGUCGUUCUCUUCACACCCUGGCUCCCAGCCUGAGCUGAGAGAGCACUGUCUCAGCGCUUCAGGCUCCCUCCAGCCCUCUUAUCGAAACCAGGUUUUAUCAGGACCCUCACAUACUAGGUCUUCAGAAGCAGCUCACUGCCCUCUAAAUGUCUUAAAAGAAACAAACAGGUUGAGGUUGCUAACUGACUGGGACUGAUCUCUGAACCCUUCGGUUCCAUUUAUAGAAGGAAAGGUGGCUUUGGUGGCUGUUAAGGGUUGUUAAACUUGUAGUUCAUGACAGGCCCAAGUUCAUGGAUCCCUUGGGACCCAGGAGCUGACUUCUGACCCUCUGAGGUCAGAGGGGAGUAGGCUGAGAGGGCAAGGGGUGGCAUUGGUGAGUGGCAUGGUAGCUGGUGUUAACAAGGGGGUGUGUGUUGUGGGGGAGGCAGUUUUUCACAGAAUUUUUAGACUGUCCCCACAGGUGUGAUCUUGGCUAAGGGGAUGUGGAGGUCCCCAGGACCUCUUUGCCCAGGAAGGGUGAGACGCCCCCUGCUGGGCAAAGUGGUGAAGGUGUCCAGAGGCCACUGAUACCACCCUGCCCCUCCCGGCCCUCCACGCCCACAGAGAACCAGCCCGCCCCCACCUCUAAUCAGGUGUCUCAUCGCUGAGCUCUCAGGCCCCACCCCCUUUCUUCGGAAAUGGGGCCCCCACCCAGCCCAGCCAAGGAGCAGCCCUCAGAGAUGGGCCGGGCAUUGUCACCACCCCCUACCUGGCACAGGCAAGCCUCUGCCCAUGGGCGGGCAUAUGGGACCCAGGCAUUACUCAGCUGGAAGGCAGGCCUUCCUGUCUUCCUCCUUCUAACCCCAGUGCCAACUGGAGCUGGUGCCUAUCCUCCUGCCGUGCCAGUCCCUCCCGGGCUGCUGUUGGGGCACUGCUCCACAGCCCUUCUGUGGGGUUUCCCGAUAGCCUGGUGGGAGGCAAGUGACAGGACCUCCCAUGGUACUUCCUGGAACCUUAGAGAGACUUCUCCCGGCACUCCAGGGUCAAGCUCUGGAAACUUUUCCUAGAAGCCAGAAGGGCCCCAGAGGUCAGCUGGAGAGAGACACUCCCAGUGGGACUCGGGCCUGGACUCUGGCCACUGAGAGAGGGGAGGUCCAGGGUGUCAAAGUUCUGACAGUUUCCUGGAGGAAUCAUCUGGUGAUACCAUCUCAGUCUUUUUCUCUGAACUUGGAAGUUUCACUUAAUCUCAGAACUUCUGAAGAAAAGGACUUUUUUUCCUCACUUCACACACACACACACACACACACACACACACACACACACACAAUGGGAAGGAGGGACUCAUCCUUUCUGGGCCUGUCUCCCAACCUCUGGAAGGUGCAAGGGACACAGGGCUUGUUGCUGGUGGGAUGCAGGGCUCUUUUCCUUUGGGGGUAGCAAAGGAGCUUUAGCCAAGGGCCUCUUAGCACAGUGUGAGGUUGGAGAUGCCACCUUUGGGACCCAAAAGAGUUGCCAGCACAAAUAUUGGAUCAUGGAUUAACAUCCCCUCUGGUCAUGACACAUCUAGUCCUGAAGCACCCAGGCCAUAACUAAUUCAUUGUCGAGUGAGUCGAGUCUGCUCAGGAGGGGACAGCAGGACCUCAAGACCCUCAAAGUGGCCAUGUGGACCCCUUCUCCUCUACCAUAGUUCAGCCAAGGGCUGGAUCAAUCUGGACGUCUUUAGCAAUAAAAAAUGCCGAUGUCGUCCUAAUUCACCAGGCCCCGAGAUGACAGCAAAUUUACAUUUUUUAAUUAAACUAGCAGCCAGUUUUUAUGAGAGGGGGUUGGGUUAUGCAAAUCAAAUGGUUGUGUACGGAAGAUUAGGAGAGUUUGGGAAUAAAUUCCACAAAUGCUAAUAAAAAAAAGAGGAAAGAGAGAG
ensembl:lncRNA